rnacentral:rRNA from 1 species
UACGUAGGGUGCGAGCGUUAAUCGGAAUUACUGGGCGUAAAGCGUGCGCAGGCGGUUAUAUAAGACAGUUGUGAAAUCCCCGGGCUCAACCUGGGAAUUGCAUCUGUGACUGUAUAGCUAGAGUACGGUAGAGGGGGAUGGAAUUCCGCGUGUAGCAGUGAAAUGCGUAGAUAUGCGGAGGAACACCGAUGGCGAAGGCAAUCCCCUGGACCUGUACUGACGCUCAUGCACGAAAGCGUGGGGAGCAAAC